CAUGUAGGCGGAUUAAUAAGUUUGAAGUGAAAUCCUAUAGCUUAACUAUAGAACUGCUUUGAAAACUGUUAAUCUAGAAUGUGGGAGAGGUAGAUGGAAUUUCUGGUGUAGGGGUAAAAUCCGUAGAGAUCAGAAGGAAUACCGAUUGCGAAGGCGAUCUACUGGAACAUUAUUGACGCUGAGAUGCGAAAGCGUGGGGAGCAUACA
rnacentral:rRNA from 1 species